GACAGAGGGUGCAAACGUUGUUCGGAAUUACUGGGCGUAAAGCGCGCGUAGGCGGCUGUCUAAGUCGGGUGUGAAGGCCCCGGGCUCAACCUGGGAACUGCAUUCGAUACUGGACGGCUAGAGUAUGAGAGAGGGAGGUAGAAUUCCACGUGUAGCGGUGAAAUGCGUAGAUAUGUGGAGGAAUACCGGUGGCGAAGGCGGCCUCCUGGUUCAAUACUGACGCUGAGGUGCGAAAGCGUGGGGAGCAAACAGG
rnacentral:rRNA from 1 species